GAUGAACGCUGGCGGCGUGCCUAAUACAUGCAAGUCGAGCGAACGGACGAGAAGCUUGCUUCUCUGAUGUUAGCGGCGGACGGGUGAGUAACACGUGGAUAACCUACCUAUAAGACUGGGAUAACUUCGGGAAACCGGAGCUAAUACCGGAUGAUAUUUUGAACCGCAUGGUUCAAAAGUGAAAGACGGUCUUGCUGUCACUUAUAGAUGGAUCCGCGCUGCAUUAGCUAGUUGGUAAGGUAACGGCUUACCAAGGCAACGAUGCAUAGCCGACCUGAGAGGGUGGUCGGCCACACUGGAACUGAGACACGGUCCAGACUCCUACGGGAGGCAGCAGUAGGGAAUCUUCCGCAAUGGGCGAAAGCCUGACGGAGCAACGCCGCGUGAGUGAUGAAGGUCUUCGGAUCGUAAAACUCUGUUAUUAGGGAAGAACAUAUGUGUAAGUAACUGUGCACAUCUUGACGGUACCUAAUCAGAAAGCCACGGCUAACUACGUG
rnacentral:rRNA from 1 species